rnacentral:rRNA from 1 species
UACGUAGGGUGCGAGCGUUGUCCGGAAUUACUGGGCGUAAAGAGCUCGUAGGUGGUUUGUCGCGUUGUUCGUGAAAACUCACAACUCAAUUGUGGGCGUGCGGGCGAUACGGGCAGACUGGAGUACUGCAGGGGAGACUGGAAUUCCUGGUGUAGCGGUGGAAUGCGCAGAUAUCGGGAGGAACACCGGUGGCGAAGGCGGUUCUCUGGGCCUUACCUGACGCUGAGGAGCGAAAGCGUGGGGAGCGAACAGG